ACAUUCCUACUAUGGAACCACCAUGUUAAGAUGACAAAAAGAGAGGGAGAAGGUGCGACGGGUGACUUUCAGAAGAUGCUUUUGUAUCGGUACACUAUGACACGGCCAAGCUUGUGUCUGGCCAACAAGAGACGAUAUUGACAAGUGCGUUCAUUAAAGCAAAGCCCUCCAAAUUAC